UACGAACUGUGCGAACGUUACUCGGAAUCACUGGGCUUAAAGGGUGCGUAGGCGGCCCUUCAAGUCGGGUGUGAAAGUCCCCGGCCUAACCGGGGAAUUGCGCCCGAAACUAGAGGGCUUGAGUACGCUAGGGGUGUGCGGAACUUCCGGUGGAGCGGUGAAAUGUGUUGAUAUCGGAAGGAACGCCGGUGGCGAAAGCGGCACACUGGGGCGCAACUGACGCUGAGGCACGAAAGCCAGGGGAGCGAACGGG
rnacentral:rRNA from 1 species